CCCGGUCUGUUAAAAAUAAUAAUAUAAAAUUUAAAUUCAAAAUUAGCCGACGAAGUCUAAACGGAAGUUGUAGAUCGUAAUUUUAGCUACGCGUGCAUAUAAAGAACGUCAAAAACGGAGCUCGUAUGCGAAAGUUAUGGAUUUUAGAAGUUUUGGCACGAAAACCGAGAAAUUUCGCAUAGUCACACAAUUGCCACGUCACCCUCGCUUAGAAUGUGACACGUGUCCUGCUAAGUCACCUGGCUGCUGAGUCAUUAGGCUGCUGAGUCACUGAGGCUGCUGAGUCAUGCGAGCCACGUGUCCUCUUCUGAUUCGACCGAGGAGGAGGCCCAAUCCGAAGCAGCCAGCUCCCCAGCCGAAGCUUCGCCCAGCUGCCGCGUGUGUCCGAGCCUCGCAUAGCCUAGCUCCGAGCCUCGCAGGUGCGCUAGCAAGCCGCGGUCCACUUAGAAGCCGACAGCGAGCCCUAGCAUGUGCGAGCCAGGUGCGAGCCAUGCGAGCCAUGCGAGCCAUGUGCGAGACCCCCCCCCCC
rnacentral:lncRNA from 1 species